rnacentral:rRNA from 1 species
GAUGAACGCUGGCGGCGUGCCUAACACAUGCAAGUCGAGCGAUUCUCUUCGGAGAAGAGCGGCGGACGGGUGAGUAACGCGUGGGUAACCUGCCCUGUACACACGGAUAACAUACCGAAAGGUAUGCUAAUACGAGAUAAUAUACUUUUAUCGCAUGGUAGAAGUAUCAAAGCUUUUGCGGUACAGGAUGGACCCGCGUCUGAUUAGCUAGUUGGUAAGGUAACGGCUUACCAAGGCGACGAUCAGUAGCCGACCUGAGAGGGUGAUCGGCCACAUUGGAACUGAGACACGGUCCAAACUCCUACGGGAGGCAGCAGUGGGGAAUAUUGCACAAUGGGCGAAAGCCUGAUGCAGCAACGCCGCGUGAGCGAUGAAGGCCUUCGGGUCGUAAAGCUCUGUCCUCAAGGAAGACAAUGACGGUACUUGAGGAGGAAGCCCCGGCUAACUACGUGCCAGCCGCCGCUGUAA